GGCGACGUCACUGGGGCCUUAUGGUACUUGCAGCUGGGCAGUCUUCUCCUCAGCGUGUAGCCUGGUAACCACGACUUCUCCGCCAGGUCCUGUGUGUUGCUGGCUGGAGAAGGGUAGUUGAAAACUCAGACCAAGCACAGUGUUUAUGUUGGUCAAAACUAGAAGACUAUGUCCGGGCGCGGCCGAGGCUGGAGGAUCCCUUCAGGCCAAGAGCAACCUAGCAAUAUGGCGCGACCGGAUCUCUGUAGUCCUACCUCAGCCCCCCAGCUGCUUGAACCCCAAGGUUCGAGGCUCCAAUGAGCUAUGAUCCCACCACAGCAUUGCAGCCUGCCAGACUGAGAAAUGGGGUUUCACCAUGUUGGCAAGGCUGGUCUCGAAUUCCUGACCUCAAGUGACCCACCCACCUCAGCCUCCCAAAGUGCUGGGAUUACAGGCAUGAGCCACCAUGCCCAGCCCCUUCAGGCUGGAGUUGCAAUCUCGGCUCACCACUACCUCUGCCUCCCAGAUUCAAGAGAUUCUCCUGCCUCAGCCUCCCAAGUAGCUGGAAGUACAGACAUGAACUUAUGAAUUCAACACAUGAAGACUUACAACUUGAUAAACCAGCUUUAGGAGAUGGUAAUUUUCAGAAACUACAAAAGGUGUCAAGAUCCAUAAUUUGCUUCAUCAAACGCUUUUCUAGCUCGUUUCAACUCUUCAUUCAUCGUAAGCAAGUCUUUCACCCUGGCAAACUUCCUUGGGUCCUUGAGAAUCAAGAAGACGAUAUCUUCAACCUGUACUCGACCUUGUCUUCCAACUGACAUUGCCUUGUGAGUCAUUUCAGUGAGAAACUUUACGACAAGAUCUUCAAGAAUAUCCACUGACUCUGUAUAAGGAUUCUGGUCAUCCCCAAAGCCAUACAUCAUACAUCGCAAUUCUUUAGAAAAAAGUCUCCUUCUUUUACCCUGUCCACCUUCUGCACCUCCUCCAGUUUCUUCAUUUCCUUCCUCAAAGGUGGGGUCUUCUUCCUCGUCUGCCAUCCCACUGGCCCACCAACCCACAGCCGAGAAACUUUCAGAGAUGUUGGCUGCUAUGUUUCUGGCGAGGCUUAGUUUAGCCACCGCUGGACACAGCUCCCUGCCUCCCCUUCCCACACACAAACACACACACUGGUUUUUCUCACUUCCACAAUAUGGAGAAACUUGUGGAUGGAGAGUGUAUUAGUUUUAGAUCAAUGCAGAAUAAAUGCUCACAAAUCUUGGAUAUGGAAAACAAACCCCAGCUCAGAGGUCAGAAGUUCUACUGGGCCAAGUGACUGCCUCCUGCUCAGAGUCACAUGAGGGACCUCCAGGAUUGGUCUGUCUGUGUGGUCGUUGCCUUCACCUGAGAAGGGUCUGGCUUCGAUCUGAUUCGAGUUGGUGGCAGAAUUCAAUGCCUCAGGUAUGUGAAACCCAGACCCACUUGUUUGUUCUGCCAGCUGCCGGGAGGACGCUCUGAGCUCUUACAGGUGUUGCCCAGGUCUGGGCCGUGCAGCUCCCUGGGUCUGCACAUCCAGGGCUGAGGAAUCACCCACAGGGGAGUGGAAUCUCAGGGAGGUUCAGUCCCUUAUAAAGAGCUCAGAUGAUUCUAUUAGACCCAGCCCUUAACAGCUAUUGUUUCCGGGUAUUCCUUAUCUAAUCCGGGGUUUGGGCGGGCUCCUCAAUUCAAGGUUCUGCCCACACCCAAGGGAGGGGCAGAGGCAGGGCUAGGCUCUGGGGGUGUGGGGGGGGUCCGGAAAUGCCGGGGGCAUUUCAGAAUUCUGGAUUCCUCACAGAAUCGCAAAGUUCACAUUUCACGACAAUAAAGAAAACGUUGAGAGUAAAAGUGAGACCUUUUAUGAAGUUGCACAUUAGAAAACUUAAACGUCUGAGAAAAACAUCUCUAACUCAUAGGGAAACAAGUGGUAUAUCAGGUACUCUGAAAAUAGACUGGGCUCGGUGAGGGGAAUAUGAAAAUAUUAUUUCAAUUGUAUCGUAUUGUAUUGCAUUUUAUUUAUUUAUUUUUGAGACAGAGUCUCGCUCUGUCCCCCAGGCUGGAUUGCAGUGGCCUGAUGUCAGCUCACUGCAGCCUUUGCCUCCUGGGCCCGAGCAACUCUCCUGACUCAGCCUCCAGAGUAGCUGGGACUAACUGUGUGCGCCACCACGCCAGAGUAAAAUUGUAUUUCUUAAAGCAGAGAGGAGGUUUCAUCAUUUUGGCCAGGCAAAGCCGCAGCCUGGUAGGCGCCACGAAGACGCUGGCCACUGCAGCCGCCGGCAAAAGGGCGCCGCCUACAGGAGGGAUCAAGAAGCCUCACGGCUACUGGCCUGGCACUGCGCAAAAUCAGAAAAUAGCAAAAGGCACGCAGCUGGACCUCCUCAAGCUGCCCUUCCAGCGCCUGAUGCGCAGCAUCGCGCAGGACAUCAUCGUGGACGUGCGCUUCCAGAGCACGGCCACAGGCGCCCUACAGGAGCCCAGUGAGGCUUCCCUGGUGCACCUCUUUGAAGACACCUGGCUGUGUGCCAUUCAUAAAAGCCCUGCCCUCUUCUCCCCCAUAUAUGUGUAUUAGCGCUCUGCUUUGUACCCUCUUCCAGAGGAAACACAAAUCCAUCAAUUGAUCAUUUAAGCCUUUCUAGCUUGGAUACAACUUCUCGUGUAGUUGUAUUUGAAAGCUCUGUACUUUAUACUUCUAGAGACUAGACCCUAGACAGAAUCUGCUUGGAAUAGUGGAGCUAGCUAGAUUCAACUUUAUUUAGGCAUACGCUAAUUACUUGUGAGGGCAAAGGCAGGCAGUGAGGUUGUUAAGCUUACCCCCAAAUAGUAAAUUUUGGAAAAUAGUCAAGUACAGUCACUUUAUUUGUUAGAUAUCUUGUCACCACCUUACCAGCACCAGACCACAUUUUUCUAGGCAGUCUCCAAAUGUACAUUAUGAGAUAGACUUUAAGAAUAGUAAUGAAGCUCCAGGAAAAACCUCAUUGCCGUUAACGUGUAAUACAACCAGCCGUGGAAGCAGUCAAAGCUUUCUCCUGAAAAGAUAACACUUUCUACAGAUUUCUUUCCUGAGAGCUGUGGCUAUGUGAUAUUAUAUAUUGAGAAGCUUUCAUAUGCGAUUUUUAUAGUUAGGAAACAACAGAUGCUGGCAACACCCAAAGCAUGUGGGACUUAUAGCCUAGAUGUUGGGUUGAUUGGUGCAGCAAACCCCUAUGGCACAUGUGUACCUCUGUAACAAACCUGCACUUUCUGCACAAGUAUCCCAUAGCUUAAAGAAAAAAAAAAUUGCUUAGAGGCACUGAACCCACUCAGCUAAUCCAGUUUUCCUCUCUGAGAAAACAACGCUGUGUUCCUGCUCCUGAGCUGACCUCUGAGACCUUGAUGGGCUUUUGACUGAAAUGUUUUAAGAUGAAAUGAUGAUUCUCCCAUGAUCAGGGGCAGUAUAUGGGGGUUACUCACUUCCUGCUCUCUGAGUUGAAGCAAGGCAGAUGUCUGCAGACUCAAACUGAUAAAUCUAUUCAUUGCUUUCUUUUC